CUUUGAGACUGUCAGUGCGUGCCUUAGUUUCUCAAAAAUCUCAAUUUCUGAGAAAGUUCUACCGUGUGCGAAUGGAGGGUACACUCAUACAUUUAUAUUUACGGGUGACGGAGCAGGAGUAAACAAAAGUCUGGUGAAUCGCUAUUAUUGAGGGUCUGGAGGAUAUAACUUAUUAAAUAAGUAAACAUCAACAUCAAAUCAGAUUUGAAGGUUAAGAAUGGAUUCCGUGAAUGAAGAAGAAAAAGUUAAUCAACUGGAGACUCGUCCUCCUACAAAAAUUUAUCCUGGGACGAUGGAUUCUCUGGUUCCACCACAAAAAGAUGGCGACG